rnacentral:rRNA from 1 species
GAUGAACGCUAGCGGCAGGCUUAAUACAUGCAAGUCGAGGGGCAGCACGGUUAGCAAUAACUGGUGGCGACCGGCGCACGGGUGCGUAACACGUAUACAAUCUACCUUAAACAGGGGGAUAGCCUUUCGAAAGAGAGAUUAAUACCCCGUAAUAAAUUGAACGGCAUCGUUUGAUUUUGAAAGCUCCGGCGGUUUGAGAUGAGUAUGCGUCUGAUUAGCUAGUUGGUGAGGUAACGGCUCACCAAGGCGACGAUCAGUAGGGGAUCUGAGAGGACUAACCCCCACACUGGUACUGAGACACGGACCAGACUCCUACGGGAGCAGCAGUAAGGAAUAUUGGUCAAUGGAGGCAACUCUGAACCAGCCAUUGCCCGCGUGCAGGAUGACGGCCCUAUGGGUUGUAAACUGCUUUUAUACAAGAGAAAACCCUGGUACGUGUACCAGGUUGAUAGUAUUGUAAGAAUAAGCAUCGG